rnacentral:rRNA from 1 species
UACGUAGGCGGUUUAUUAAGUCAGAUGUGAAAGCCCCGGGCUUAACCUGGGAACUGCAUUUGAUACUGGUAAACUAGAGUAUGGUAGAGGGGUAGAAUUCCUAGUGUAGCGGUGAAAUGCGUAGAUAUUAGGAGGAAUACCAGUGGCGAAGGCGGCCCCCUGGACCAAUACUGACGCUGAGGUACGAAAGCGUGGGUAGCGAACA